rnacentral:rRNA from 1 species
AAAAGUGAAAGACGGUCUUGCUGUCACUUAUAGAUGGAUCCGCGCUGCAUUAGCUAGUUGGUAAGGUAACGGCUUACCAAGGCAACGAUGCAUAGCCGACCUGAGAGGGUGAUCGGCCACACUGGAACUGAGACACGGUCCAGACUCCUACGGGAGGCAGCAGUAGGGAAUCUUCCGCAAUGGGCGAAAGCCUGACGGAGCAACGCCGCGUGAGUGAUGAAGGUCUUCGGAUCGUAAAACUCUGUUAUUAGGGAAGAACAUAUGUGUAAGUAACUGUGCACAUCUUGACGGUACCUAAUCAGAAAGCCACGGCUAACUACGUGCCAGCAGCCGCGGUAAUACGUAGGUGGCAAGCGUUAUCCGGAAUUAUUG